AACGUAGGAGCCUAGCGUUAUUCGAAUUCACUGGGCGUAAAGCGCGUGCAGGCGGUUCGGUAAGUUGGAUGUGAAAUCUUCUGGCUCAACUGGGAGAGGACGUUCAAGACUGUCGGACUAGAGGACGGUAGAGGAAGGUAGAAUUCCCGGUGUAGUGGUGAAAUGCGUAGAUAUCGGGAGGAAUACCAGUGGCGAAGGCGGCCUUCUGGGCCGUUCCUGACGCUCAGACGCGAAAGCUAGGGGAGCAAACGGG
rnacentral:rRNA from 1 species